rnacentral:rRNA from 1 species
GACGAACGCUGUCGGCGUGCUUAACACAUGCAAGUCGAACGGAAAGGCCCUGCUUUUGUGGGGUGCUCGAGUGGCGAACGGGUGAGUAACACGUGAGUAACCUGCCCUUGACUUUGGGAUAACUUCAGGAAACUGGGGCUAAUACCGGAUAGGAGCUCCUGCUGCAUGGUGGGGGUUGGAAAGUUUCGGCGGUUGGGGAUGGACUCGCGGCUUAUCAGCUUGUUGGUGGGGUAGUGGCUUACCAAGGCUUUGACGGGUAGCCGGCCUGAGAGGGUGACCGGCCACAUUGGGACUGAGAUACGGCCCAGACUCCUACGGGAGGCAGCAGUGGGGAAUAUUGCACAAUGGGCGGAAGCCUGAUGCAGCAACGCCGCGUGCGGGAUGACGGCCUUCGGGUUGUAAACCGCUUUCGCCUGUGACGAAGCGUGAGUGACGGUAAUGGGUAAAGAAGCACCGGCUAACUACGUGCCAGCAGCCGCGGUGAUACGUAGGGUGCGAGCGUUGUCCGGAUUUAUUGGGCGUAAAGGGCUCGUAGGUGGUUGAUCGCGUCGGAAGUGUAAUCUUGGGGCUUAACCCUGAGCGUGCUUUCGAUACGGGUUGACUUGAGGAAGGUAGGGGAGAAUGGAAUUCCUGGUGGAGCGGUGGAAUGCGCAGAUAUCAGGAGGAACACCAGUGGCGAAGGUGGUUCUCUGGGCCUUUCCUGACGCUGAGGAGCGAAAGCGUGGGGAGCGAACAGGCUUAGAUACCCUGGUAGUCCACGCUGUAAACGGUGGGUACUAGGUGUGGGGUCCAUUCCACGGGUUCCGUGCCGUAGCUAACGCUUUAAGUACCCCGCCUGGGGAGUACGGCCGCAAGGCUAAAACUCAAAGGAAUUGACGGGGCCCCGCACAAGCGGCGGAGCAUGCGGAUUAAUUCGAUGCAACGCGUAGAACCUUACCUGGGUUUGACAUGGAUCGGGAGUGCUCAGAGAUGGGUGUGCCUCUUUUGGGGUCGGUUCACAGGUGGUGCAUGGCUGUUGUCAGCUCGUGUCGUGAGAUGUUGGGUUAAGUCCCGCAACGAGCGCAACCCUUGUUCACUGUUGCCAGCACGUUAUGGUGGGGACUCAGUGGAGACCGCCGGGGUCAACUCGGAGGAAGGUGGGGAUGACGUCAAGUCAUCAUGCCCCUUAUGUCCAGGGCUUCACGCAUGCUACAAUGGCUGGUACAGAGAGUGGCGAGCCUGUGAGGGUGAGCGAAUCUCGGAAAGCCGGUCUCAGUUCGGAUUGGGGUCUGCAACUCGACCUCAUGAAGUCGGAGUCGCUAGUAAUCGCAGAUCAGCAACGCUGCGGUGAAUACGUUCCCGGG